rnacentral:misc_RNA from 1 species
CUUCUCUUCUUCUCCAGCCGCUCACCAGCCUUGGCCGUCGAGCGCCCCAGCUCCUUCCUCUCCCUCUCGAUUCUCUGUUGACCGGUGCCCUGCUCGAAUUUCCGCCCGCCAAGCUCCCAGCCGAGCUCUUGCGCUGGGUUUCUCUCCCUGGUGUGCUCGCCCGUACUGCACUCCUGCUCGAACAGCGCCCAACCUGCUUGCCAAGGCUCUUCCCCUCGGCGUCGAUCUCCCUGCGCGUCCCCGGCCUCAGCUCCUCUGUUCUUCGUUCCUGCUCAGCCGCUCCCUCCCCUCCUUCCCUGCUCAACCAGCUCGGUUCCAUGGCAGCGCGCAGCUCCCCUUUGCUCGCCCAGCCGUCGAGUUUCCCCAUGCGCAAUCUCCUGCAGCCAUGGCGCCCGGCCGGAAUUUCCCGUCUAGUUCGCGUCCUGCUCGGUGUUCCUUUGCUCGUCGCGCCGGAGCUCCCAUCGCCGUGCGCAGCUUCUUCUCUGGUGGCCGCGCGCCCUUCCAGCUCGCCACGGCGCUCAGUCCUGUCCAUCUCGCCGUGUUCGGAUUUAGAGCAGCACACUCCCUGCGUGUCGCGCCGUUCCUAGUUCCCUGAACACGCGAGUUCUUUUACUAGCGCUGUUCCCGGUGUCGCGCGCCGUGCUGUAGCGCGCCCUUUGCCGAACUCGUGGUCACGGUCUCGCCUUGCUGCCACAGCCACGCCUACUGCCGCGCUCGGUCUUCGUCUCUGUCGCACGCGCAAAUUUUCUUCGCUUGGUCUUAAUUCCUGUCGCAUCGUCGAUCUCGCUAAAUGCGUUCGUCGUUUGGUCUUGUGUCGUUAGGAUCGUUUACCGUGUUUGCUACCGCGUGCGCUUGUUUCUUAGGCGCAUCGCGCAAUAGAUGGGUCUCGCGCGCGUGGUUUUGAAGCUAUGCGCGUUCGUCGUGCCGCGUCGUGUGCUGAUAUUCUCUCCCAGCAGACUUCGCCGUCGACCAUGUUCAAGUAAUUGUUCGGCUCCUCGCAUCCCGCCUAUUCAAUAAACCACCCAAAUCUAUAGACUGUCGACGCACUGCUGCCUUACGCGGCUGUCUCCGUCACUUGCGUCAGCUCACCAGACCUACAACUCCAUAUACGUCGCUCUCCCGUAUCGUCGUCGAGCCCGUCGAACCUCGUUCUUCCCUGCUCAAUCUUGUCGAACCCAGAAUCCCAGACUUUAGACAAAAAUAAGCGAGGUCCCUGUGCAUCGCUUAUCAAGUACUCGGUCGAAGACUUCAAUCGAAGAUCGUCGUUGACCUCGUAACUUCAGCUCGAGUUAAUAAUGGUACGAUAAAUAAUCGCGUGUGCGGAAGAUGUCCCAAGUCGACCCCAAGCGCGGGCUACUCCGCAUGGUGAAGCUGAUGGACAAACCUGAAGAUGGUCGUCAAGUGGACGUCAUCUAACAAACACUAACGUAGUGUUUAUUUCAG